rnacentral:rRNA from 1 species
AUACAUGCAAGUCGAGCGGACAGAAGGGAGCUUGCUCCCGGAUGUUAGCGGCGGCCGGGUGAGUAACACGUGGGUAACCUGCCUGUAAGACUGGGAUAACUCCGGGAAACCGGAGCUAAUACCGGAUAGUUCCUUGAACCGCAUGGUUCAAGGAUGAAAGACGGUUUCGGCUGUCACUUACAGAUGGACCCGCGGCGCAUUAGCUAGUUGGUGAGGUAACGGCUCACCAAGGCGACGAUGCGUAGCCGACCUGAGAGGGUGAUCGGCCACACUGGGACUGAGACACGGCCCAGACUCCUACGGGAGGCAGCAGUAGGGAAUCUUCCGCAAUGGACGAAAGUCUGACGGAGCAACGCCGCGUGAGUGAUGAAGGUUUUCGGAUCGUAAAGCUCUGUUGUUAGGGAAGAACAAGUGCAAGAGUAACUGCUUGCACCUUGACGGUACCUAACCAGAAAGCCACGGCUAACUACGUGCCAGCAGCCGCGGUAAUACGUAGGUGGCAAGCGUUGUCCGGAAUUAUUGGGCGUAAAGGGCUCGCAGGCGGUUUCUUAAGUCUGAUGUGAAAGCCCCCGGCUCAACCGGGGAGGGUCAUUGGAAACUGGGAAACUUGAGUGCAGAAGAGGAGAGUGGAAUUCCACGUGUAGCGGUGAAAUGCGUAGAGAUGUGGAGGAACACCAGUGGCGAAGGCGACUCUCUGGUCUGUAACUGACGCUGAGGAGGG